rnacentral:rRNA from 1 species
CCUACGGGUGGCAGCAGUGAGGAAUAUUGGUCAAUGGGCGUAAGCCUGAACCAGCCAAGUCGCGUGAGGGAUGAAGGUUCUAUGGAUCGUAAACCUCUUUUAUAAGGGAAUAAAGUGUGGGACGUGUCCUGUUUUGUAUGUACCUUAUGAAUAAGGAUCGGCUAACUACGUGUCAGCAGCCGCGGUCAUACGGAGGUUCCGAGCGUUAUCCGGAUAUAUUGGGUUUAAAGGGUGCGUAGGCGGCCUUUUAAGUCAGCGGUGAAAGUCUGUGGGUCAACCAUAGAAUUGCCGUUGAAACUGGGGGGCUUGAGUAUGUUUGAGGCAGGCGGAAUGCGUGGUGUAGCGGUGAAAUGCUUAGAUAUCACGAAGAACCCCGAUUGCGAAGGCAGCCUGCCAAGCCAUGACUGACGCUGAUGCACGAAAGCGUGGGGAGCAAACAGGAUUAGAUACCCCAGUAGUC